AUUGAACGCUGGCGGCAGGCCUAACACAUGCAAGUCGAGCGGAGCGGCGGACGGGUGCGUAAUGCCAAGGAAUCUGCCUGGUAGUGGGGGAUAACGUCCGGAAAUGGGAGCUAAUACCGCAUACUAUCAGAUUAGCCUAGUUCGGAUUAGCUAGUUGGUGGGGUAAAGGCCUACAAGGGCGACGAUCCGUAACUGGUCUGAGAGGAUGAUCAGUCACACUGGAACUGAAACACGGUCCAGACUCCUACGGGAGGCAGCAGUGGGGAAUAUUGGACAAUGGGCGAAAGCCUGAUCCAGCCAUGCCGCGUGUGUGAAGAAGGUCUUCGGAUUGUAAAGCACUGUAAGUUGUGAGGCGUUACCAACAGAAUAAGCACCGGCUAACUUCGUGCCAGCCGCCGCGGUAAUUC
rnacentral:rRNA from 1 species